GGUUCGGCCUCCGGCCGAACGGCUCAUUAACACGUAGAUAACNUUGCCCUUAGGUGGAGGAUACCCUCGGGAAACUGAAAUAAUACUCCAUAGAUUUAGAAUGCUGGAAUGCUUUUAAAUUGAAAGAUCUAUCGCCUAAGGAUAAGUCUGCGGACUAUCAGGCCGUAGUUAGGGUAAAUACCUGACUAGCCUACGACGGAUACGGGUUGUGAGAGCACUAGCCCGGAGAUGAUAUCUGAGACACGAUAUCAGGCCCUACGGGGUGCAGCAGGCGCGAAAACUUCGCACUGUGCGAAAGCACGACGAGGGAACCCCAAGUGCUGGCUCGUAAGAGUCAGCUGUUUCUUGUCUAAAAAACAGAGAGAGUAGAGCUGGGUAAGACGGGUGCCAGCCGCCGCGGUAAUACCUGCAGCUCACGUGGUGGCCGCUAUUAUUGGGCCUAACGUCCGUACCCGGUUCUAUAAUGCCUGCGCUAAAAUCGUACGGCCUUACCGUACGACUUCCCGGGUUAACUGUUCAACUUGGGACCCGGG
rnacentral:rRNA from 1 species